GUCUCCAUGCUGCCUGACCAAUCAAGCCUAGUUCCAUGUGGAAAGCCUUACAGGUGUGAAUGAUGCCCAAUGUCACGCGUACAUGAUUCUGUCAUCCAUCUGUGCCUAGAUCCUCCAGGGAGAAACGUGAACGCAUCCUCAUGACACAUUUAGUCUCGCAUUCAGACUCCCAUCCUACAUGUACCUACGCUCUCCGAUCAGGUUCACGAACGAGCUUCCACAGACGAUGUCGGAUAUGAAAUAACAGAACUGUCAUCGGAAGUUUACCGUCUUUUUGAAGGAGUGGUGGAUGUUUUCCAACAAAUCCUCAAGAGAAGGAGAUGCUCAAUUUGCUGGUGGCCCUACGUGCAGGUCAUGUGACUCGUUGAUCACAAUUGCUAGCUUGAGGUCCUAAUUUGAACCAAUCCCCUCGCUCGCAAUGCAUGAUUGCUUUUCAUCUAUGUUGAAUAUCGUGUUGCUUUAAUUCAACCGCAUAUUUUCAGUUACUUCCCUUCAUCCCUCUUCCAUUUUUUGGUCAUCCCAGCCACAGAUUUGAUUAAAAGGCCCCAAAUUAGAUUUGAUUUUUCCAUUGCCGACGGGUAUGCAAUCCAGGAAAUCAGAUGAUUGCUUGCUUGUAAAUUGAAGCAGAGAUGUAUUAAGAACACUUUAAUUUCUAUGGACAUCCUUUUGAUUAUCGAUAAGUGCGUGUUCAGAAGUAAACAUCCGCAUGCUUGUGUUUACGGACAUGUGUUUUUAACCCCUCAAGAAUAGUCGUCAAGUUUAAAGCAUCAACACACCCUCGACUGGUUGAAACCUGGAAAGUUGCGAGGGUUCAACUGAAUUUCAUCGGGAUUUCUAUCUCCUGUUUGCACCGUCAAUCCUAAAUGGCAACCGAGUGAGGAUUGUAGGAAAUAGAUUGUGUGAUCAAGAAGUGGAAUUUCAAUUCUCUCAUCCUUCAAAGCCAGCUUGUAAAACAAGACAACAUUCAUGCGAUGAUAGGUACCUGCAAAUGUUCAGCUGUCAAUUGAAAAGUAUAUUCUCCUUUGAUGUCUGUUGGAUCAGUUGCGCCUGCCGCCACCGCAACAGCUUUCAAAUUAUUGAAAUCGACUUUUAUCUGGCGGGAAUAUAUUUAUUGAGAAGAGAGAGAGGAAUACCAGGAGACAAAUAUUUGUGAACAUUUGAUUUUGAUUACAAGUGCCUUCAACAGUGGAAGUGGAGUGGGUUAUAUUGUCUUCAAAAUUGUUAGCCUUUGGAGUGGAAUCUGGGGAUCACGAGGAGAAUAUAAAAACAGAUUUUAUUAAAGCGCAUAGAGAUGCAUUGGCAAGAAUUGUUGUCGUCUGUUUGGCAGUGUCUGGUGUUACCCUUAGAAAACAUGCUUAAGUUCAGGUACGUAAAGAAUUCUCUUAUAUUUUCAAUACUAGGGGGUCGUUUCAUAAAGCUGUCCGUGAGUUACAUGUAUGCACAACUUUGCGUGAGACUGGUGAUCCUUUCUCGUGGUAACUGAUAUUUACCCCCAAAAAGGCCGUCUGCACCAUCCCGAGUUUUCAAAU